rnacentral:lncRNA from 1 species
UUCUUCUGCUCACUUCUCCUAGGAUCUUCAGCUCCAUCAUGUGAACUUUGCAGCCAAACCCACCGUGGACCUCACCAUCCUCAAACAGGUUUUCCUGUUUAUGAGGUAGGAGGUCCAAGAGUGAUUGUUCAGCCUGCAGAACCAAGUCACCUCCUGGCUAACCUGCUGAUCACAGCUUUGAGUCUUCCAGCAGAAGAGAUGCUGCACCAGACCAUCUGGAGAAGGAGAAGGCUGCAAUGCUGGAUUUAUAGAAGACAAUCAGAUCUGAACAAAGAAAGAAGAAAUGGAGUAGACUCUGAAUAGAAGGAAUAGACUCUCCUAUUACCUUUUGAGCACUUUUCCAAAGGCCUUAACACACAAAAAAACCCCAACCAAUCUGAAUUUUGUCUGGGCUUCCUGCAGGUUUUAGGCAGUUUUUCCAGUUGCAAGAUUCCAGUCUGGAAUCCUGAAGCAGUGGGUUGGAGCUGUCUUAAAAAUGUUUCCAAAAGAAGGAAAUGGAAAGCAAGUUGCUGUGGUUUAAUGUGGAGCUGAAAACUUGCAUACAUAUUUUAUUGAGUCUCUGGGUAUCCUGGCUGUGAACAAGCACAGGCUGAGUCACACAGAUGUGCACUUCAGAAAAGACUCUGAGGCUCCUCCUGGCCAGCUUAACUCCCGAGGUCUGAUUUAAUACUGAAACCAUCUCCUGCCCCUUUGAUGUGGGUUAAGCUCUUUUCAUCAUGCCUGUUUAGGAGCUGUUUAUUUUUCACUUAACCUUUCCCUUUGCAUUUGUUUAAUUAAAAGAUUUCUCGAGAAGUCACAUCACCACAGUGCCACAUUCCACCGCCUUUGUCAAGAUUAUAUAGAAGUGCUUCUCUAAUAAUUGUCCUGGGAUUUAGGAGAAUUCUGCAAACAGGUCACCUCCCUGCCUCCAAGUCUGUUUCCCAUAUUAAACAGAUUGCCACUCUGCCUGUAAUACCUUGGAAGUCUGGUUUAUCACACCACAAACAGGUACAGAACUGAAGAAAAUCUCUCUCAGCUGUUUACAUCAAUUGCUACUGUUAAUUUAUGAUCACUGUAUUAAAUCCAUUUAGUUUAGCAAAAGGACUGUAAAUUAAUUCUGUGAUUUGGGAACUUGCUGAAGUUAUUACUGCACAGCACCUUAUUAAAGCAUUUGAGCACUUCUAGCCUGUACAAAUAUACUGUGAUGCUCUGAUAGUCUCAGUGGCUUUUAACUGUGCUGCUGCAGCACUGUAAUAAAUUUCUUUAAGAGAAAAUUUGGGUGAUGAUU